GACGAACGCUGGCGGCGUGCUUAACACAUGCAAGUCGAACGGAAAGGCCCUGCUUUUGUGGGGUGCUCGAGUGGCGAACGGGUGAGUAACACGUGAGUAACCUGCCCUUGACUUUGGGUUACCUUCAGGAAACUGGGGCUAUUACCGGAUAGGAGCUCCUUCUGCAUGGUGGGGGUUGGAAAGUUUCGGCGGUUGGGGAUGGACUCGCGGCUUAUCAGCUUGUUGGUGGGGUAGUGGCUUACCAAGGCUUUGACGGGUAGCCGGCCUGAGAGGGUGACCGGCCACAUUGGGACUGAGAUACGGCCCAGACUCCUACGGGAGGCAGCAGUGGGGAAUAUUGCACAAUGGGCGGAAGCCUGAUGCAGCAACGCCGCGUGCGGGAUGACGGCCUUCGGGUUGUAAACCGCUUUCGCCUGUGACGAAGCGUGAGUGACGGUAAUGGGUAAAGAAGCACCGGCUAACUACGUG
rnacentral:rRNA from 1 species